UACGUAGGGGGCAAGCGUGUCCGGAAUUAUUGGGCGUAAAGAGCGCGUAGGCGGUCCGAUAAGUCGGCUGUGAAAGUCAGGGGCUCAACCCUUGAAAGCCGGCCGAUACUGUCGGACUAGAGUCCGGAAGAGGCAAGUGGAAUUCCCGGUGUAGCGGUGAAAUGCGCAGAUAUCGGGAGGAACACCAAUGGCGAAGGCAGCUUGCUGGGACGGUACUGACGCUGAGACGCGAAAGCGUGGGGAGCGAACAGG
rnacentral:rRNA from 1 species